GCCAGACUCCUACGGGAGGCAGCAGUGGGGAAUAUUGCACAAUGGGGGAAACCCUGAUGCAGCGACGCCGCGUGAGCGAGGAAGUAUUUCGGUAUGUAAAGCUCUGUCAGCAGGGAAGAAGAAUGACGGUACCUGAAGAAGAAGCACCGGCUAAAUACGUGCCAGCAGCCGCGGUAAUACGUAUGGUGCAAGCGUUAUCCGGAUUUACUGGGUGUAAAGGGAGCGCAGGCGGUUCUGCAAGUCUGAUGUGAAAGCCCGGGGCUCAACCGCGGGACUGCAUUGGAAACUGCGGGACUGGAGUGUCGGAGGGGUAAGCGGAAUUCCUGGUGUAGCGGUGAAAUGCGUGGAUAUCAGGAGGAACACCGGUGGCGAAGGCGGCUUACUGGACGAUGACUGACGCUGAGGCUCGAAAGCGUGGGGAGCAAACAGGAUUAGAUACCCGAGUAA
rnacentral:rRNA from 1 species